UGUGAAUGAAACGAAGUCGAUGAACCCGGCCCGAUGUACAAGUGUGUCUGACUCUAAUCUCAUUCUGCCUGGUAACUUUAAUUUUUGAUUACUUUUGCACCAUGAAUUUCAGUGACGGAGGACCUCCUAUGCCUUCUGGAGGAGAAGGAGUGGAUGCUGAACUGAAACAAUUUAUAGCAAUGGAGACACAAAAGGCAAAGUUUCAACAGCAAGUUCACAAUUUCACAGAUCAAUGCUGGGACAAAUGCGUCGAUAAACCUGGUUCAAAAUUGGACAGCAGAACUGAAACUUGUCUUGUAAAUUGUGUGGAGAGGUUCAUAGAUACCACAUUAAACAUCGCCAAUCGUUUCCAGACUAUGCAUCAAAGACAAGGAGGCCAUUAAUCAACUUUGCUGGGGCCGGUACUCACAUUUUGGAGGAAGAGGACUAGUUGGAAUCAUAACUGCAAAAGAUGUUUUCAAACUGGAGAAGAUGAAUCAUGCAGUUGGUCUUGAUGUUUGCAGUGCUGCCAGUACUUGUGUGGACAGCAAUAAUAAUCAUGGACAUCAUCGUUAUAGAGACUUGAAGACAUUGGACUUUGUAUAAUCUGUUAUUGGAACUCGAUGUGAACUCUAGAAUUGAUGACGGAUCUUUACAUUGGACAAGUUUCUAGUACAGCCAGUGAUAUUUUGUAGAGAAUAGAAGUUUUUAGUAAACUGCCCCUCCCCCAUCCCCCCUCCCUCCUCCCUCCCCCCUCCCUCCUCCCUCCCCUCUUACAUGAACAAAAAAGAUGAGGAUAUUUUAAGGUUUAGAUGCAUUCAUGGAUUUAGAGUUUUAAAGAUUUAGUUAUUUCAGGAAGAAUGGUCCUAUUAAUCCCUUGCAAUUUGAUUUGAUUGCGUUAGAUUCGAUCAAGUUUGUUUAAAAACAAGGUGAGGUGAAUUGGGGAAACAAAAUGUCUAAUCAUCCUUUAAUCAUAAAGCUGUGUCCAUGCAUUUCUUUAGUUUUUACCCCCAUGAUCCAUCUAGGAAAUGGUUUUUAUACAUGUAUGUGACAUUUACGUGUAUUUGGUUUCAAAAUGUCAGAGAUUUUGGGGGAUUUUAGAAUACAUGUAUUGUUGUGUAUCUGAGGAAGUGAAAUAACCAAUAUUCUAUGAUAAUUUUUUAAUGUUUUUAAUAGAAAUUGAAAUCUCUUAACUCUAAUACAUGUAUUUCUGAAUGCCUUGGGCGCCUUUUACUUCGACCCAUCCUAGGAAGUGAUGCCAGUCAGAUAAUGCCAAUGUCAAUGAUUUGAAGGAACUAGUUUGUUUUCCAAUAUAGAGCAUUCAAUGGUAUUUUCUCUGUAUUAUAAUUAAAAAUUCUGCAAAUAUACAAA